UACAGAGGGGGCAAGCGUUGUUCGGAAUUACUGGGCGUAAAGGGCGCGUAGGCGGCCUUCUAAGUCGAACGUGAAAUCCCUGGGCUCAACCAGGAACUGCGUCCGAUACUGGAAGGCUUGAAUCCGGGAGAGGGAUGCGGAAUUCCAGGUGUAGCGGUGAAAUGCGCAGAUAUCAGGAGGAACACCAAUUGCGAAGGCAGCUCGCUGGGACGUUACUGACGCUGAGACGCGAAAGCGUGGGGAGCAAACAGG
rnacentral:rRNA from 1 species